rnacentral:rRNA from 1 species
AUUGAACGCUGGCGGCAGGCCUAACACAUGCAAGUCGAACGGCAGCGGGAAAGUAGCUUGCUACUUUUGCCGGCGAGCGGCGGACGGGUGAGUAAUGCCUGGGGAUCUGCCCAGUCGAGGGGGAUAACUACUGGAAACGGUAGCUAAUACCGCAUACGCUCUGAGGAGGAAAGCGGGGGACCUUCGGGCCUCGCGUUAUUCGAGCGGCCGACGUCUGAUUAGCUAGUUGGUGGGGUAAAGGCUCACCAAGGCGACGAUCAGUAGCGGGUCUGAGAGGAUGAUCCGCCACACUGGGACUGAGACACGGUCCAGACUCCUACGGGAGGCAGCAGUGGGAAUAUUGCACAAUGGGGAAACCCUGAUGCAGCCAUGCCGCGUGUGUGAAGAAGGCCUUCGGGUUGUAAAGCACUUUCAGCGAGGAGGAAAGGUUGGUAGCUAAUAACUGCCAGCUGUGACGUUACUCGCAGAAGAAGCACCGGGCU